CAGAGGGAAGCACCUCUCCCCUCCCAGGGGGGGAAUUUCCACUGCCAAAAGCAUUCACUUUCAGACUCUUCCAACGCAGCAUGCCGGAAAACAUGCGCUGUCAUUGUUUGCCCCAUAAGUCAGAACAUUGCCCGUGUCUGGAGCCUCCUCCGAGCUCAGCUGUCCUUAAUUUCCUGUAUCCCAUCCUCUUUUUUCGCUAUCCCUCCAUCUUGACUUGUUUAUGGCCGAGAUUGUUUCUCUCCGAGCAGACUUUCUGUCAGUGUUGUUGAAAGAUAUGGCGUAACAUUAGGGCGAUCCAAAACAGUGAAUAAAUCAAAAACAAAGUGAGAGCAAUUAACUGCAAGGGACUGGAAGAGCUUGUUCGUUUUCAUUCAGCCAUGCCAGUUUUUCUUUCCUCCCAUUCUCUCUUAUCAAAAAUAAAUGAAGCCUUUCAGACAGUAACCUAACAAAGCGCACACGUGAAGCAUCUCCGAGAUGUCCUUCUCGAUGCUCAAUACGCUGAUCGCCGAGUUGCUCGAAAGGAGCCCCGUGACUCACGUUGAUGAUUCGCAAUCCGAAGGCUGAGGCUGCGUCCUUAAAUUCCCCAAAGGCAGUGAGAGGACUUUUCGCAGUGCAGUGGAGGAGGGCAGCAACAGCAGCACCCCGUAAGAACCUGGAUCCGGAUUGGCUCUCCAUUAAAUAAAUGACAUCGGGGUGCUUCCCUCCUUUUGACAGUAAGACUAUAGCCGCUCCAGAGACGUGCGUCAGUGCUACAAGCAUCAAUAAGCUAGUGAUUACCGUUAUCUGUUAUCUAAGGGAGUCUUGUGUGGAGCAGCUGGUGCAGUUAAUCAGCCAGAGCCUGAUCACAUCACUCCCCCCAUUGAGCAGCUUGCCAUGUACCGUGAUUAGACUGCUUAUCUGCCGUCAGACAGAAUGUUGAUGCUGUACAGUCGGCCACAUUGUUAGAAGUCAUUGUGCAUGCCCCCCCCCCAAAAAAAGCUGAUGUGAAUUAUUACCCUGCACAAUACAGCUCAAACAAAUCCCAAGACUGUAAAUGACGCUGGAUGGGUGCUGAUAUUGUUUAGGAUGGAACUCUCACCAAUGGCUCAAUACAGAAAUUGUAAAAGAUUUUUAUUCUUGCCAUGAUUUUUUUUCCCCUCCACAAUAGUUAACUUCUUAUUACAUUUAUUUGCCAGUUACGAAUAUUAAAAUGUAACUUUACUAAGAAGAUAGAAGCUCACCUUGCCAAAGCUUCCUUUUCCUAUUGCUCUGAGGAU